rfam:Brassica napus, WGS project CCCW01000000 data, contig: 29264
GGAAUAUAAGAACCCGUCUCUUAACUUUUAACUAAAAAUUUUAAGAAUCGGCUCUUAAAACUGUUAUAUAAGAACCGGUCCUUAGCUUUUUUAGUUAAAAGUUAAGAGACGGGUUCUUAUAUUUC